rnacentral:lncRNA from 1 species
ACUUUCAGAGAGUUCUGGCUUCUAUUGUUUUGUUUUAAAUAUUUUUAAUAAUUAUUAUUAUUUUUAAAACAUACAUUUGUACAUUUUUAUUUAAUUUGCAGCACUUUGGGAUGGUUUGUUUGUUUGCUUGUCUGAUUGUCUUGGUCUUUGUUAUUUGUACUAUUUAAAAAUCCUUAAAAAUACAUGUAUAAAAAAGAAAUUGACACAAUGUUGUUUUGGAUAUAUUCAUCCUUUACAGUGUCUUAUGACUACAUACAUCUUAUGACCACUGUGCAUGAACACAAAAGGUCAAAAAGGCAAAUACAGUCUGAUCAGUCUGUGAACAUACUGCAUUAUAAUUGCACUUUAAUCUGUUUUUCAGUCCAAAGAUCCAUGACGAUGAAAUCGAUGAGCUCUGCACCUCUUCGUUCUCACAUCCCCGAAACGCUCCACCAAAAAUCUCUGCGUCCUCCUACUCCACAAGAGAGAAGUGAAAGAUUACUGCCGAAAGUCUCGGUGGAGUCACAGCCCUGGGUGCACGGCGGCGACGAGAUAAACGCGGAAAAUCAACUGGAAGAAAACAGGGAAGCGAGAGAAGAAGAAGAAGGAAAAAAACGCACAUGCACGGCUGGCCGACGUUGGCCAAAAACUCAAAGGAGAGAUGGUUACACUGCAUCGCCAGCUUGCCUCAUCUGA